ACGACCGCGAGCUCCGGAGAAGGAAACUGUCGCUCCGAUCGUAUCUUUUUCCAGAGCCGCGGUCGU
rnacentral:pre_miRNA from 1 species